UUGUUAUCCCAACCCUAGAGUAUACCCAAGAAUGUUUUCUUAUAACCCUAGACUGUUGUUGGCUGCACAAACCCUAAAAAACCUCAUAAAAACAUCAGAAAACGCAAACAGCCCAUUUAUAGACGCGCACCUGCGCCCCGCGCCAGAUGCCCGCGCCCCGCGCAGACAAACAGAGCCAAACAGGCGUUUCUAGUCCUCUCCUGGCACCCAGGCGCCACAGGGGCAGAAUCCACAGGCAUUUCUAGCCUGCUCCUGGCGCCCCGCGCCACAGGCCUGCUACUUUUGCCAGUUUUGACAGCUUCUCAGCUUUUCCUAUUUCCAAUGUUUUCAAGGCAAUAUCCAACA
rnacentral:lncRNA from 1 species